rnacentral:lncRNA from 1 species
UUUUUAUUUUUACUAUUAUAAAAAACAGUAAUCUAUUUUCAGAAAAAUAAUAUAAUAGUAUUUCUAUGUAUUGGUCAAUUAAAUUCUUGUUUAUAUUUUAGAGGUUCAGAAUUUAGAAUACAAUAAAUAUCAUAGAAGAGAAACCCUUUCUAGAAAAAAAAAAAAAAAAAAAGAAAUGAAAAAAAAAACAUCGAAGAGAGACAGCUUCAUCGAUGCUUCUGUUAUAUUGUGGUCAUUCGUUGGACUAAACAUUC